rnacentral:rRNA from 1 species
AUUGAACGCUGGCGGCAGGCCUAACACAUGCAAGUCGAGCGGAUGAAGGGAGCUUGCUCCUGGAUUCAGCGGCGGACGGGUGAGUAAUGCCUAGGAAUCUGCCUGUUAGUGGGUGAUAACGUCCGGAAACGGGCGCUAAUACCGCAUACGUCCUGAGGGAGAAAGUGGGGGAUCUUCGGACCUCACGCUAUCAGAUGAGCCUAGGUCGGAUUAGCUAGUUGGUGGGGUAAAGGCCUACCAAGGCGACGAUCCGUAACUGGUCUGAGAGGAUGAUCAGUCACACUGGAACUGAGACACGGUCCAGACUCCUACGGGAGGCAGCAGUGGGGAAUAUUGGACAAUGGGCGAAAGCCUGAUCCAGCCAUGCCGCGUGUGUGAAGAAGGUCUUCGGAUUGUAAAGCACUUUAAGUUGGGAGGAAGGGCAGUAAGUUAAUACCUUGCUGUUUUGACGUUACCAACAGAAUAAGCACCGGCUAACUUCGUG